UUUACUAUUUAAAAUUUUAUUUCUAAUGGCAUACCUAUGUAAUUAUUUACAAAAAGUAAGAUUACAUUUAAAAUGUACUUCCCAAAUAAUAUAGUAGGAUAAUUGGAUCCCUAUCACCAUUAUUUUUGUCAACUGUUAAAUUUAUACUUAGUCAACCCAUUUUUAA
rnacentral:sRNA from 1 species